GCCAGCAUGGUGUAGUGGUUUGAGCAUUGGACUACAGCUCUGGAGAUCAGGGUUCAAAACCCAGCUCAGCCA
rnacentral:tRNA from 1 species